CUGUCAAUAAUAAGCAUCCAACUACAUGGCUACACAUUUGUCAAAGCUCCCUUCAGUGUUGGGGGUAUUUUUCCGUUAUGUAAAGUAGCUGCAAAUUCCUAGUUGUGGAUUUAUUUGUUUCUGUGCUAAGAUGUGCAUCUGGACCUCCGGUGAUCAUUUCUAUAUUAGAAGCUGCUGGUAGGAGAAAAUGUCAGUAUUCAUCAUUAGCUCGGUUUCUCAAGAUCAUAAACUGGUCGAAGGCUAUUGUCAGAUUUGUUGAGAUUACCAUUGUGCUAUUACGCUGACUUCUGCGUCAUUUGGAUAGACAAAGCUAAGCCGAAUCUAUAUUUUUAUUCCAUGAAAAUUGGAGCAAAAGAAUAUUCAGUCUAUUUUCAGAUGAGAAGAAAUUGGAUGCUACCCUUAUUUCUUUUAUUGAUUGAAAUACAUGCCAUGAAUCAAGUGGGCAAGAAGAAACGGCUUCAAGAGUUCUAAAGAAAGAUAUCGAGAAACUUAGUAUGGAUAUGCUGACUAAGAAUCCAUAGAUAAUUGAGAGAAGACAUCUUUGCACAGGUUUCAUGCAUAAAAUGGUAAUGUCUAAAUACUCUGAUAUAAUCUGCGUGCUUAAAAUGGUAAUGUUUGUAUAGUCUGAGAUGAUCUUUGAAAAACAAGAGGCAGAUUGCUUGAGCUGUUUCCUUUUAUAGGGCUUGUUUUCACAGGAAACUGAAAUUUCUAGGUGUGUGUAUCCAAAGACCGAGGCUGACAUCUGAUGUUUCUAGAGUGCGAUGUAGGCAUCAACCACUUGUAAAUGAUAAACAUCCGUGAUGAAAAGAAAAGCGGCACAGCGUGGCAAGAUUAAUAAAUAAUAAUAAUCAGUUUUCAGAGAUCCUAGAAAAUUUUGAAGAAGCUAUAACUGAGAUUUUCUUGCUUCUCCUUAUUUUUUUUUUAAGCUUUUCCCUUCUCUUACAAUUUUUUUUUUCUCCCUCCUCAACGAAGUGCUUUAACUAAAGUUAUCAAACAAUUUUUUUGAAAGUCUAUUUUUAUUAAAAAAAUAAAAAAUAUUUUUUAAACAAUAUCAAAUACAUCCUAACGGUAGUUGAAAGGUUUUUUUAAAAAAAAUUACAGCGACACUUAACUUUUUACGAAAAAUAUUUGCAUUCAAAAUUUUUAAUUUUUUUAAUUAGACUUCAAAACUUAAUUUUUUUGUUGUGAUAUGAUCCAGCUAUCCAUCUAGCUUUAAUAUUGUCAGUGGCAUACGUAGAAGAACUGGUUUGCCCUCGAGUUCUUGGUGGAACGAAAUCAAAUUUGGGGAAAAUUACAGUUGAGGGCACGAAUAAUCCCUGGCCAGCCGUCUGACUCAUCCCGAUCGUCUACUCCAUUUCGGCCAAGUGUCUGAUGCAUCGGGCUCUCAAUCCUCCUUUGCUAUUCCCACUUUCAAUUUCACCGCUUCUCAUUUCCUCCUCCUCCAUUCGGACUUCCAUCCCUCUCAUUUCUCUGACAACUAUCCUUCUUCCAUCUCCGUGUCCGAACCCUUAAUUAUUCAUGAAUUGAUGGCCCAGUUCUUUUUGUUAUUCAUGAUGGCCCUAUUGCUUAUGUUAUGCAAAAUUUUUAUUGCACCGCGCACGGUGAUUGGCGCUCACAGAGGGUCCCCCUCUUUCAUUUUUUUAUAUUGCCCUUCUUCCGCACGUCAUCCGAUCACCGUGUGUAGUGCACAAAGAGUUGCUCUUAUGUUAUUCAUAAAUCAAUGUCCCUGAUGUUUAGGAUUUGUUUAGGGAGCCAUAUUGUAGUAAUAAAAUAUUGUUAGGGUUGGGCAUCUACUGUCAUUCUAUAGGGAUUAUACUAAAAUAUUGCCUAGGUUAGGGAGCUACAUUGUAGUGCUUGGGUUAGAUGUUUACAGACCUAUUUCCAUAUGGGAAAUAUGCAAUGCUCUACCUAGAUAUCUGCUAAUAGCAAUGAUAUCUGCCAAUGUAGGAAAUGUGCAAUACUGUUUGCGGACCCAUUGCAGACUGUGGGCAUAUGGCACGUAGACUUUUUUUUAUUUUACACGUAUGGUAUGCAGACUUUAUGUUAUUUGCCCA
rnacentral:lncRNA from 1 species